GACGAACGCUGGCGGCGUGCUUAACACAUGCAAGUCGAACGGAAAGGCCCUGCUUUUGUGGGGUGCUCGAGUGGCGAACGGGUGAGUAACACGUGAGUAACCUGCCCUUGACUUUGGGAUAACUUCAGGAAACUGGGGCUAAUACCGGAUAGGAGCUCCUGCUGCAUGGUGGGGGGUGGAAAGUUUCGGCGGUUGGGGAUGGACUCGCGGCUUAUCAGCUUGUUGGUGGGGUAGUUGCUUACCAAGGCUUUGACGGGUAGCCGGCCUGAGAGGGUGACCGGCCACAUGGGGACUGAGAUACGGCCCAGACUCCAACGGGAGGCAGCAGUGGGGAAUAUUGCACAAUGGGCGGAAGCCUGAUGCAGCAACUCCGCGUGCGGGAUGACGGCCUUCGGGUUGUAAACCGCUUUCGCCUGUGACGAAGCGUGAGUGACGGUAAUGGGUAAAGAAGCACCGGCUAACUACGUG
rnacentral:rRNA from 1 species